GAACUGAAGAGUUUGAUCCUGGCUCAGAUUGAACGCUGGCGGCAUGCUUUACACAUGCAAGUCGAACGGCAGCGCGGGGCAACCUGGCGGCGAGUGGCGAACGGGUGAGUAAUAUAUCGGAACGUACCCAGAAGUGGGGGAUAACGUAGCGAAAGUUACGCUAAUACCGCAUACGAUCUACGGAUGAAAGUGGGGGACCUUCGGGCCUCAUGCUUGUGGAGCGGCCGAUAUCUGAUUAGCUAGUUGGUAGGGUAAAGGCCUACCAAGGCGACGAUCAGUAGCUGGUCUGAGAGGACGACCAGCCACACUGGGACUGAGACACGGCCCAGACUCCUACGGGAGGCAGCAGUGGGGAAUUUUGGACAAUGGGCGCAAGCCUGAUCCAGCAAUGCCGCGUGAGUGAAGAAGGCCUUCGGGUUGUAAAGCUCUUUUGUCAGGGAAGAAACGGCCGAGGCUAAUACCUUUGGCUAAUGACGGUACCUGAAGAAUAAGCACCGGCUAACUACGUGCCAGCAGCCGCGGUAAUACGUAGGGUGCAAGCGUUAAUCGGAAUUACUGGGCGUAAAGCGUGCGCAGGCGGUUUUGUAAGUCUGACGUGAAAGCCCCGGGCUCAACCUGGGAAUUGCGUUGGAGACUGCAAGGCUUGAAUCUGGCAGAGGGGGGUAGAAUUCCACGUGUAGCAGUGAAAUGCGUAGAGAUGUGGAGGAACACCGAUGGCGAAGGCAGCCCCCUGGGUCAAGAUUGACGCUCAUGCACGAAAGCGUGGGGAGCAAACAGGAGUAGAUACCCUGGUAGUCCACGCCCUAAACGAUGUCUACUAGUUGUCGGGUUUUAAUUAACUUGGUAACGCAGCUAACGCGUGAAGUAGACCGCCUGGGGAGUACGGUCGCAAGAUUAAAACUCAAAGGAAUUGACGGGGACCCGCACAAGCGGUGGAUGAUGUGGAUU
rnacentral:ncRNA from 1 species